UUAAUGAUUCCUGCAAGCUAUCCUGAUAGAAAUUGUCACUGAUAUAUCUUUCUAAUUAUGCUAUCACCUAAUUAUGGUACAUAUUGUGAGUCUCUGUUCUUUUAAGAAAAGAAACUGUGAGUUUCUUUAGUAUAUAAAGUGUGACUGAGUGUUUUCCGAAUGGUGUACUUGUUGGGAGUGUCAUAGUUCAUUUUCUAUUCUUCUUUCCUCGCCAUUCUCAGGAUCUGAUUUUGGGUUAUUUAGAAUUCUUCAGAAGGAACAUUCCAAAAGAGAUAACAAAUCACUAGGCAAUUCUGUAUACAGUCAUUUGUUUGAUGCUCGAAGAUGAGGCAUACAUCAUAUAUUUACUCGACUGGAUCACAUUUCCAAAUGUAAGUUUGUUCUUGUAACAUUAUUCAACUAGUUACGUUACAUCCAAUUACUGAUGCUGUUUCACGUUCGACUCAUGCUACAGAUUGUUAUGCGUACUUCAUUGUGAAAGAAUACUUGCUGAAGAAAAAUAUCAUCAUCAAUUACUGCAUAAGAGAAGUACGCCGCUCAGGGAAAUGCAGCUGUCGAGGUCCUUCAAAAUCCUCCGUCACAGACGGAAUCUGGAAGCUCGACCUUCACUUUGGUCAUCAAACAGGUGCAAUAUUUUCACUCCACUCUGUGGUGUGUGGUCCUUAGUUAGAAGGUUGUUGAGUGAACUUCUGCAUCUGUUCGUUGAUAGAUUGGUAAAUAGGAACACCGAAGUAUGUUAGUUGCUUUUCAGUGGCCUUUAAGAAGCUGAGGGACCCUUCACAGUUGGUUUCGUUAAAAAUGGCUUAUUUAAUCCAAUAUGCAUGGAGGAUUGUUACCUGCAUAUCCUCAAAAAGAGCGCCAAAUUUGAAAGUUAAAAUAAAUAAAAUAAAAGCACUUGAUGAAUUUAUAUAUUAUAUGAUUAAAUGAAGCUUUCUUCCUGCGUGUUACUGUUAACUAAGGUAAUUAAUUUAAAGUGUAUUUCAUUAGAUUAACGGAUAUUAUUGAAUAAAUGGUUUUAUGUGUUGUUUGUCUCUUUAAUAGAGAACCCCUACGGGUCCCUAGCUAAAGGAUAGUUUUGUGGAUAUUAAACUUUCAUAUUCCCCAAAUUAUGUCAUUAUGAGAUAUUGUCAUGUUUAAUGCUGUUAAUAUUAUCAAAAUCAUCUUUGACGUUUCCCCUCUCUCUUUCCUUGGAGAUUUUAA
rnacentral:lncRNA from 1 species